GUCCAGACUCCUACGGGAGGCAGCAGUGGGGAAUAUUGCACAAUGGGCGAAAGCCUGAUGCAGCAACGCCGCGUGAAGGAAGAAGGGUUUCGGCUCGUAAACUUCUCUUAACAGGGACGAAAGAAAUGACGGUACCUCAGGAAUAAGCCACGGCUAACUACGUGCCAGCAGCCGCGGUAAUACGUAGGUGGCAAGCGUUAUCCGGAUUUAUUGGGUGUAAAGGGCGUGUAGGCGGGAAAGCAAGUCAGAUGUGAAAACUCAGGGCUCAACCCUGAGCCUGCAUUUGAAACUGUUUUUCUUGAGUGCUGGAGAGGCAAUCGGAAUUCCGUGUGUAGCGGUGAAAUGCGUAGAUAUACGGAGGAACACCAGUGGCGAAGGCGGAUUGCUGGACAGUAACUGACGCUGAGGCGCGAAAGCGUGGGGAGCAAACAGGAUUAGAUACCCCAGUA
rnacentral:rRNA from 1 species